rnacentral:rRNA from 1 species
GACGAACGCUGGCGGCGUGCUUAACACAUGCAAGUCGAGCGGUAAGGCCCUUUCGGGGGUACACGAGCGGCGAACGGGUGAGUAACACGUGGGUGACCUGCCCUCAGCUCUGGGAUAAGCCUGGGAAACCGGGUCUAAUACUGGAUAUGACUCCAUGACGCAUGUUGUGGGGUGGAAAGCCUUGUACGGCUGAGGAUGGGCCCGCGGCCUAUCAGCUUGUUGGUGGGGUGAUGGCCUACCAAGGCGACGACGGGUAGCCGGCCUGAGAGGGCGACCGGCCACACUGGGACUGAGACACGGCCCAGACUCCUACAGGAGGCAGCAGUGGGGAAUCUUGCGCAAUGGGCGAAAGCCUGACGCAGCGACGCCGCGUGAGGGAUGACGGCCU